GGUCCCGCAGCUCGACUGGGUCGAGCGUCGCUUUGACGACGGAGAUUGCAGGUUCGAUUCCUGCUGGGGCCG
rnacentral:tRNA from 1 species